rfam:Camelus ferus unplaced genomic scaffold scaffold705, whole genome shotgun sequence.
GAGGGGAUAGCUCAGUGGUAGAGCACAUGCUUAGCAUGCACAGGGUCCUGGGUUCAAUCCCCAGUACUUUCA